rnacentral:rRNA from 1 species
CCCUUAGAUGUUCUGGGCCGCACACGCGCUACACUGAAGGAGGCAGCGUGUACUCCUGGAUCGAAAGAUUUGGGUAACCCGCGAAUCUCCUUCGUGCUAGGGAUUGAGGUUUGCAAUUAUCCUUCAUGAACGAGGAAUUCCCAGUAAGUGCAAGUCAUAAGCUUGCGCUGACUACGUCCCUGCCCUUUGUACACACCGCCCGUCGCUACUACCGAUUGAGUGUUCCGGUGAAUAAUUCGGACUGCAGCAGCGUGGGGACUCCUCAUGCUGCAGCGGAAAGUUUGGUGAACCUUAACACUUAGAGGAAGGAGAAGUCGUAACA